GUUAAGAUGCUAAGUCACCCAGGUUAAGAUGCUAAGUCACCCAGGUUAAGAUGCUAAGUCACCCAGGUUAAGAUGCCAAGUCACCCAGUCUAAUGCCAAGUCACCCAGGUUAAGAUGCCAAGUCACCCAGGUUGAGAUGCCAAGUCACCCAGGUUGAGAUGCCAAGUCACCCAGGUUGAGAUGCCAAGUCACCCAGGUUGAGAUGCCAAGUCACCCAGGUUGACAUGCCAAGUCACCCAGGUUGAGAUGCCAAGUCACCCAGUCUAUUUGCCAAGUUACCCAGGUUGAGAUGCCAAGACAACAUUAUCCAUGUAGUUCCCUAUGAGUUGUCAUUGCUUUUCCUCCUAGUUUGACCAACAGCACUUGCUUUCUAUCAAUUUAAC
rnacentral:lncRNA from 1 species